rnacentral:rRNA from 1 species
ACGAGUGGCGCACGGGUGAGUAAUAUCUGGGGAUCUGCCUGAAGGAGAGGGAUAACUGUUAGAAAUGAUAGCUAAUACCGCAUAAUGUUGUAAAACCAAAGUAGGGGACCAUUAUAGGCCUUAUGCCUUCAGAUGAACUCAGACAAGAUUAGCUAGUAGGUAAGGUAAAGGCUUACCUAGGCUACGAUCUUUAGCUGGUCUGAGAGGAUGAUCAGCCACACUGGAACUGAGACACGGUCCAG